rnacentral:rRNA from 1 species
GAUCCUGGCUUAGGAUGAACGCUAGCUACAGGCUUAACACAUGCAAGUCGAGGGGCAGCAUUGGAGUAGCAAUACUCAGAUGGCGACCGGCGCACGGGUGAGUAACACGUAUCCAACCUGCCUAUCAGAGGGGAAUAACCCGGCGAAAGUCGGACUAAUACCGCAUAAAACAGGGGCACCGCAUGGUGAUAUUUGUUAAAGAAAUUCGCUGAUAGAUGGGCAUGCGUUCCAUUAGGUAGUUGGUGAGGUAACGGCUCACCAAGCCGACGAUGGAUAGGGAACUGAGAGGUUGGUCCCCCACACUGGUACUGAGACACGGACCAGACUCCUACGGGAGGCAGCAGUGAGGAAUAUUGGUCAAUGGGCGGGAGCCUGAACCAGCCAAGUCGCGUGAAGGAAGAAGGAUCUAUGGUUCGUAAACUUCUUUUGCAGGGGAAUAAAGUGCAGGACGUGUCCUGUUUUGUAUGUACCCUGAGAAUAAGGAUCGGCUAACUCCGUGCCAGCCGCUGC